rnacentral:rRNA from 1 species
CGGGGUGCAGCAGGCGCGAAAACUUUACAAUGCGGGAAACCGUGAUAAGGGGACACCGAGUGCCAGCAUCCUAUGCUGGCUGUCCGGGUGUGUAAAAUACACCUGUUAGCAAGGGCCGGGCAAGACCGGUGCCAGCCGCCGCGGUAACACCGGCGGCCCGAGUGGUGAUCGUGAUUAUUGGGUCUAAAGGGUCCGUAGCCGGUUUGGUCAGUCCUCCGGGAAAUCUGACAGCUUAACUGUUAGGCUUUCGGAGGAUACUGCCAGACUUGGAACCGGGAGAGGUAAGAGGUACUACAGGGGUAGGAGUGAAAUCUUGUAAUCCCUGUGGGACCACCUGUGGCGAAGGCGUCUUACCAGAACGGGUUCGACGGUGAGGGACGAAAGCUGGGGGCACGAACCGGAUUAGAUACCCGGGUAGUCCCAGCCGUAAACGAUGCUCGCUAGGUGUCAGGCAUGGCGCGACCGUGUCUGGUGCCGCAGGGAAGCCGUGAAGCGAGCCACCUGGGAAGUACGGCCGCAAGGCUGAAACUUAAAGGAAUUGGCGGGGGAGCAC